rnacentral:sRNA from 1 species
CAAUAUUUAUAUAUCUGCGCAGCAGCUUCAAUUCAAAGCUUAAUGUCCUCUAAAUAAUUUAUCUAUUUAAUUAAUACCCACUCCAUCUUAAAAUAUAAAAAUUUAGAAUCGGAUAAAAAAUACUCUUAUAUUUUAGAAUGGAAAGAGUACAAAUUAAGAUGAUCGUUUAAUUAAUUUAUCUUCGUCUAUCUCUAUCGCUAUUGUACACAGUUGCACAAGACGUGUCCAACAUCGUGAUCAAUAGGAUGGCUGAAAGCUCUAGUGCUGUAAAUGUCAGCUUGUAAUAGAAGCAUCAAUGGCUUUAAUAUUUGGGUCUCGUUUUCAAUCGGUAGCUACAGAUGAACUUCAUCUAGAUCGUC